GCGGCGCGGUGCCUGGUCGGCUGUGGUUCCACGGCGGGGGCGAUCGGGUCCGAGGCGCGUCGGAACCCGACAUGGAACAGCCUCGGAAGGCGGUAGUGGUGACCGGGUUUGGCCCAUUUGGGGAGCAUACUGUGAACGCAAGCUGGAUUGCUGUCCAGGAGCUCGAGAAGCUAGGCCUUGGGGACAGCGUGGACCUGCAUGUGUAUGAGAUCCCGGUGGAGUAUGAAACAGUGCAGAGGCUCAUCCCUGCACUGUGGGAGAAGCACAGCCCACAGCUGGUGGUGCAUGUCGGGGUGUCGGGCAUGGCGACCACAGUCACACUGGAGAAAUGUGGCCACAACAAAGGCUAUAAAGGACUGGACAACUGCCGCUUCUGCCCCGGCUCACAAUGCUGCGUGGAGGAUGGGCCCGAAAGCAUUGACUCCGUCAUCGACAUGGAAGCCGUGUGCAAGAGAGUCACCACGCUGGGUCUGGAUGUGUCGGUGACCAUCUCCCAGGAUGCUGGCAGGUACCUGUGUGACUUCACCUACUACACGUCGCUGUACCGCAGCCGUGGCCGCUCAGCCUUCGUCCAUGUGCCCCCGCUGGGCAAGCCCUACAAUGCCCACCAGCUGGGCCGUGCACUGCGGGCCAUCAUUGAGGAGAUGCUGGAUGUCCUGGAGCAGUCCGAAGGCAAGAUCAGCUACUGCCACCAACACUGACAGCUACCAGACCCCAUGUCCCCAGGAAGACUUCCAGGAGACACUUCCCAUGCGGGUCCAAAUGAAAGGCCAAUGGACACACCUGCUGUUCUCUUGCUCAGCUACAAGCAGUAGCUGGAAUUGAACCAGAUACUCUACCUCAGCGCCGUGUCUCCAGCCCACAAAUAUCCUCUUUUGUUUGUUUAGUUUUGCUUUUUUUGCACAGUGGCUGUGAGGGCCAGGAGUUAGCCAACGUUCACGUGGGAAAGCUAAAUCUUGAAUGGAGGCUAAGCACAACUGUCCAAGGAGGCUGUUCCAGCACUCUGGGGUGGAACAACAGAAUCAGGAGUUCAAGGUCAUCCUCAGCUACAAGGUGAAUUCAAGGCCAGUCUGCAAGACAGGAGGCCCUGCCUCAAAAAACCCAAGAGCAGGGGUUGGAGAGAUGACACAGUGGUUAAAGGUGCUUGUUUGCAUAGCCUGCCAGCCUGGGUCCAAUUUUCCAGCCACCCACAUAAAGCCAGACCACCAAAAGUACUGUCUGAAUUUGGCAUUUGUUUGUAACAAUGAGAACACCUGAUAACCCCUUCUCCAACACUUGAAAUCAAUCUCUAUAUAUUUUAAACAGAAUGCAACCCUAAAGCGAGAGGCCUGAUGGCUUACACCGUUAUUCCGGCACUUGCUUGGGAAGCUGAGGUGGAAGUGCCUUGAGUUCAAGGCCAGGCUGGGACUCUGAAACCCUGUCCCACCCCCCCCAAAUUUUUUUUUAAUUUUAAAAAGACACCUUGUGAA